AAAGGAAUAGACGGGGGCCCGCACAAGCGGAGGAACAUGUGGUUUAAUUCGAUGAUACGCGAGGAACCUUACCCGGGCUCGAACGGUAGUGGAAUAAUAUAGAGAUAUAUUAGUCAGCAAUGACUGCUAUCGAGGUGCUGCAUGGUUGUCGUCAGCUCGUGCCGUGAGGUGUCGGCUUAAGUGCCAUAACGAGCGCAACCCUUGUCGUUAGUUGCCAUCGAGUAAAGUCGGGAACUCUAACGAAACUGCCACCGUAAGGUGUGAGGAAGGGGGGGAUGACGUCAAAUCAGCACGGCCCUUACGUCCGGGGCGACACACGUGUUACAAUGGCCGGUACAGAGGGCAGCUACACAGCAAUGUGAUGCUAAUCUCAAAAACCGGUCUCAGUUCGGAUUGGAGUCUGCAACUCGACUCCAUGAAGUUGGAUUCGCUAGUAAUCGCACAUCAGCCAUGGUGCGGUGAAUACGUUCCCGGGCCUUGUACACACCGCCCGU
rnacentral:rRNA from 1 species